GGGCGGUUAGCUCAGUUGGCAGAGCGUCUGCUUUACACGCAGAAGGUUUCACAGGUUCGAGCCCUGUACCGCCCACCA
rnacentral:tRNA from 1 species